rnacentral:rRNA from 1 species
GUAACAAGGUUACNGUAGGUGAACCUGCGGGUAGAUCAUUG